rnacentral:rRNA from 1 species
AACGAACGCUGGCGGCGUGCCUAAUACAUGCAAGUCGAACGAGAAAGUGGCUUCGGCCAUGAGUAAAGUGGCAGACGGGUGAGUAAUACAUAGGUAAUCUACCUCCAAGAUGGGGAUAACCUUCCGAAAGGAGGGCUAAUACCGAAUGAGACCACAGUUAUUACGGUAACAGAGGUUAAAAAUGGCCUCUACUUGUAAGCUAUUGCUUGGAGAUGAGCUUAUGCACCAUCAGCUAGUUGGUAAGGUAACGGCUUACCAAGGCUUUGACGGUUAGCUG